rnacentral:rRNA from 1 species
CAGUCGCCGCGGGAAUACGUAGGUCCCGAGCGUUGUCCGGAUUCAUUGGGCGUAAAGGGAGCGCAGGCGGGCAUAUAAGUCUUUCUUAAAAGUUCGGGGCUCAACCCCGUGAUGGGAAAGAAACUAUAUGUCUUGAGUACAGGAGAGGAAAGCGGAAUUCCCAGUGUAGCGGUGAAAUGCGUAGAUAUUGGGAGGAACACCAGUGGCGAAGGCGGCUCCCUGGUCUGUCACUGACGCUGAGGCUCGAAAGCAUGGGUAGCGAACAGGAUUAGAUACCCCUGUAGUCCCUGUCUCUUAUACA